rnacentral:rRNA from 1 species
GACAGAGGUCUCAAGCGUUGUUCGGAUUCAUUGGGCGUAAAGGGUGCGUAGGUGGCGCCGUAAGUCAGGUGUGAAAUUUCGGAGCUUAACUCCGAAACUGCAUUUGAUACUGCGGUGCUUGAGGACUGGAGAGGAGACUGGAAUUCACGGUGUAGCAGUGAAAUGCGUAGAGAUCGUGAGGAAGACCAGUGGCGAAGGCGGGUCUCUGGACAGUUCCUGACACUGAGGCACGAAGGCCAGGGGAGCAAACGGG